UACGAGAGGCCCAAACGUUAUUCGGAAUUACUGGGCUUAAAGAGUCCGUAGGCGGCGCAGUAAGUAGGGUGUGAAAGCCCUCGGCUCAACCGAGGAAUUGCGCUCUAAACUACUGUGCUUGAGGAACCUAGAGGUGAGCGGAACUGAUGGUGGAGCGGUGAAAUGCGUUGAUAUCAUCAGGAGCACCGGAGGCGAAGGCGGCUCACUGGGGGUUAUCUGACGCUGAGGGACGAAAGCCAGGGGAGCGAACGGG
rnacentral:rRNA from 1 species